GAAGCCGCGGCCGCGCCCUCCUGGCCACUCCCCGGCCGGCGGUGGGUGGCGCGCACUCGCAUAUGUCCUCCGCGCCACCGCGAUCGCCCACCCCGAGGGCCCCCAAGAUGAAGAAGGACGAGUCUUUCCUGGGCAAGUUGGGUGGCACGCUGGCGAGGAAGAAGAGGACCAGGGAAGUCAUUGGACACCAGUGACUGCUGACAGACGGUUGGCCAGCUGCAGGGAUGUGAGAGAGAGGAAAAGUGUCAGCCUUGGCCUCCUGAAGAGGGCAGCAGAAGACUCACACUAGGCCUGGAUUGAGCAUCUGAGACCUCAAAGCCAGUCCUCAGGAACACUUCCUCCAACAAAGUCACACUCCUAAUGAGCUUCUGGGGGAGCAUUUUCUUUCAAACCACCACACCUCCCACUCUGCCCAUUGGAUGGAGAAGAAAUGCCAGAAGAGAGGAAAAGGCUGGUCAUUGGAGAGAAGCAAUAAAAACACAACAGGACAAACCA